GCAUAUCAAUAAGCGAGAAAAGAACAACCGGGAUUGCCUCAGUAACGGCGAGUGAAGCGGCAAAGAGCUCAAAUUUGAAAUCUGGCCCCCUUGGGGUCCGAGUUGUAAUUUGCAGAGGAUGCUUCGGGUGCGGUCCCCGUCUAAGUGCCCUGGAACGGGCCGUCAUAGAGGGUGAGAAUCCCGUCUGGGAUGGGCGGCCGCGCCCGUGUGAAGCUCCUUCGACGAGUCGAGUUGUUUGGGAAUGCAGCUCUAAGCGGGUGGUAAAUUUCAUCUAAAGCUAAAUACUGGCCGGAGACCGAUAGCGCACAAGUAGAGUGAUCGAAAGAUGAAAAGCACUUUGAAAAGAGAGUUAAACAGCACGUGAAAUUGUUGAAAGGGAAGCGUUGUCCACCAGACUCGCCCGGGGGGGUUCAGCCGGCACGUGUGCCGGUGUACUCCUCUCCGGGCGGGCCAGCAUCGGUUUGGGCGGCUGGUGAAAGGCCCCGGGAAUGUAACACCCUCCGGGGUGCCUUAUAGCCCGGGGGCGCCAUACAGCCAGCCUGGACCGAGGCCCGCGCUUCGGCGAGGAUGCUGGCGUAAUGGUGGUCAACGGCCCGUCUUGAAACACGGACCAAGGAGUCUAACAUCUAUGCGAGUGUUCGGGUGUCAAACCCGUCCGCGCAGUGAAAGCGAACGGAGGUGGGAGCCCCUCGGGGCGCACCAUCGACCGAUCCUGAUGUCUUCGGAUGGAUUUGAGUAAGAGCAUAGCUGUUGGGACCCGAAAGAUGGUGAACUAUGCCUGAAUAGGGCGAAGCCAGAGGAAACUCUGGUGGAGGCUCGCAGCGGUUUCUGACGUGCAAAUCGAUUCGUCAAAUUUGGGUAUAGGGGCGAAAGACUAAAUCGACCCAUCUGGUAGCUGGGUUCUGC
rnacentral:rRNA from 1 species